UGCGUAGGUGGCGGGGUAAGUCAGGUGUGAAAUCUCGAGGCUCAACCUCGAAACUGCACUUGAUACUGCCUUGCUCCGAGUACUGGAGAGGAGAUUGGAAUUUACGGUGUAGCAGUGAAAUGCGUAGAUAUCGUAAGGAAGACCAGUGGCGAAGGCGAAUCUCUGGACAGUUACUGACACUGAGGACAAGGACCAGGGGAGGCGAAACG
rnacentral:rRNA from 1 species